GAAAAAGGAGAAGAUAAAGAUCAAACUAAAGUAAGAGAUCAAAUAGAAAGAAAAAGGAAACAAAAGGCCGCAAAAAUAGAGGUGAUUUGUUUAAUCGUGAUGAUUUUAUCAUAUGGAUUUGUAUAUACUUUAUUCGGCAUUUACAUUUUUGUUGGAAGAGAAAAUGUUGCAUGAGAGUGUUCUACAUAUUUCAAAUGUACUGAAGGAUGCCGUAUGUAUUGUCGGGUUUAAGGAAUUUUGGCCUCGUCUAAAUCAAGUUCUGAGUAUGUUAUCUUUCAUUUUAUUUAUUUUUUGAUUUUCUAUCUUUAUUUCGAUUAAACCUGGUACACAACGUACAUUAUUUAUUGUAUUCAUUUAAAGAGACAGAAAUACAAAAUAAAAUAUUC
rnacentral:lncRNA from 1 species